rnacentral:lncRNA from 1 species
GUACUCGUUUAAUUUGGCCAACAAUGUCUUCUGUUUUUCUUUUAGAAGCUUGAGAGUGGUCAUAUUGUUAUAUUGUUUUGUACUCGUUUAAUUUGGCCAACAAUGUCUUCUGUUUUUCUUUCAAGAUGGGGUUUCUCUAUGUAGUUGUAUAGGUCAGGCUGGCCUUGAACUCAGACUCUCCCUUGCUGUCUGCUGGGAUUAAAAGCAUGAGCCACCACAGCUGGUUUGAAAUUCUAUAACAAAAGACAUAGAUAACCUAAAUUCUGACAGUUAUGUCAAAUUCUGUGGCAUGGUCACAGUAUUCUGUGUAACAGUAUUCAGUUAAGAACGGUCAUUUUGUCUGAGGUAAUGCUGCCCAUUUGUAUCCCUAGACAGUUGAAGAGCAAAGGCAAAGGACUGGCCUUCUGUAGAACCGAGGUUUCCUAUCUUUAAUCCUGGUACUCUGGAAGCAGAAGCAAGAAAGAGAGUAAAGAGUUGGCUUUUUUUUUUUAAAGAUUUAUUUCUUUAUUUCAUGUAUGUGAGUAUACUGUUGCUAUCUUCAGAAGAGUGCAUUGGAUUCCUGCUACAGAUGGUUGGGAGCCAACAUGUGGUUGCUGGGAUUGAACUCAGGACCUCCGGAAGAGCAGCCAGUGUGCUCUUAACCGCUGAGCCAGGCCCCCCCCCCUUUUUUUUUUUUAGGUGGAGAUCUUAGCCAUUUUAAAAUUGGUACCACCAGUCAGGCAGUGGUGGCACACACCUUUAAUCUCAGCACUUGGGAAGCAGAGGCAGGUGGAUUUCUGAGUUCGAGACCAGCCUGGUUUACAGAGUGAGUUCCAGGAUAGCCAGGGAGGGAUACACAGAGAAACCCUGUCUCGAAAAACAAAAAACAAAACAAAACAAAACAAAACAAAAAUUAAAAAAAAAUGUUGGUACCAGCAAGUAUUCUGAAAACGGCAUGGUUUUGCCUAUUGCUGUUGCUUUUUAAGAGUUGCUUAUACCCACACACACGUGCUAAGCCCCUACAAAAAGUAAGCUUCUUCCGUGGCCCUGGUAUUUCCUCAGUAAUAUUUAGCCCAAUUUAUUUGACCUGAUAACAUUUGAUUCAAUUGGUAACACUGAAUUCUGAGCACCCACAUUCCACAAGUAAUACUUGGUUUGCAUGAAAAUGAACCCACAGUCCUCAACUCUUGGUUUGGGCUGUGACCAUCACCCACACUGAGGAAUUAAGGACUCAGAUGUGAGAGGAGCUGAGUUAGAGAGGAGGAGGAGCCAUGGCUGAGUGUAGUGGGAGCAUGGGAUGGGGUAGGGGAACUCAGAGAAGAGCCCAGGCUGGUGCCUGGGGGAAGGAGAGACCCUAAGCAGAGCCUUCUCGUCCCUCCCUUCCUGUCUUCCUUUCUUUUUCAAUCUUUUCUCUCUGGC